GUUCGCGAGUCGCGAUGGCCACCGCCAUCUCCACCUCGACGGCCGCCGCCUCUACGCCAGAGAAAGGGAGAUGGCGGAGAGCCCUAGAUCCUCCCCGCGGCGGCAGGCAGCGGCUCCCAAAGACGGCGCUGGCCUGCUCAGCCCGCGGUUCCGGUUGGCCGCCGCGCUGGCAGGGUGGGACGAGGAGUCCGUCCUCCUCGCGACGCUCGUCGUCGAGGACAACCCCGUCCUGGAGUCCCGCCGCAAGACCUGGUCCUCCACCUCCGCCGGUGGAAGCACCGGAUCCAGCACGAGGUGCUCCUCCGCUCGAUGCUCGCCUGUCCAAAGAAGCCAAGGCAGCUGCCGUGUACUCCUCUGACUUGAAGCGUGCUGCCCAGACUGCAUAGGCGAUCGCAGCAGCUUGCGAUGUAUCCAAAGUUGUGUUUGAUCAGGCGCUAAUAGAAAGGCACAUAGGAGAUCUCCACGGUCUGAAGUUUGAUGAUGCUGUCAGAAGCAAGCCUGAAGCUUACACGGCUUUCUCAUCUGUCAACAGGAACCAAGAAAUCCCUGCCUCUAAAUAGCAGCUAGGUGCAGCCGUGCAUCAAAGACCCAACAGACAUGGAUAAUACUCAGUAAUUGUUGUCUACCGCGCUAAAUGCAGCUGGUCCAUCAAUUGCUUCUGUUGUGAUCAAUGAGUCCAAACUUUGCAAUAGUUUUAGAGAUGAUUUGGAAAACCGACAAAGAAUUCUGAAGACAAGUACUUGGAGUACCGGUUAAAUGCUCCGGUUCAAAGUGGAGAGAGGUGAUCAGGACUUUGAAAUCGCUGGUAUAUGAUAUUGAGGAUAUUAAUAAUUAAUACUACCAUUUGAAGGGAAGUUCAAAAAAACAAGAAUUUCCUUCAAAAGGUUUCAUCAUUGUUCUCUAUGUCAAAUCGUAUUCUUUCAAUGUUUAAUCUGAUUAGAUAGAUGAAUUCUGUUGGAGAUGAGCUGAGGAGGGUACAGGAUCUCCUUCUAUGUGUUGACACAUUGAUGAAUUCUAUGCCCAAGCAGAUCAAUCUAUGUUCAAAUACAAGUGGUGCAGUCGUUGGAAGGGUUGAGGAUUUUCACAAGAUCAUGGCCAUAUUGAUGCUAAAGAAUUCUGAAGAGAUUUAUAUUGUAGCUAUAGUUGCUCCCGUUGGUUUCAGCAAGACUAGCCUUGUGAGACUGCUUUAUUGUGCCGUAGGACAGAAAAGGAAUUCCAAUUAAGAAUUUGGAUUGACUUGUCUAUAUGCACAGUCGACCUUGAAUUAUUUUUGCAAGAGAUUGUGUCAAAUCCAUGCAAGCAGAUUGAUGAUAACUUGCAAUUGAAGAAUGUUGUCAAAAGCAUACUUAGUGAUCAAGAUUGCUUGAUUGCAUUAGAUGGCCUGCAGGGUGUGGAUCAAAGAAUAGCCGAGCUUAAGGAUAUGUUGAUGACAGAUCGAGAUACACAAAGCAAUAUUGUAGUGACCACUCACAGUGAAACGGUCGCUAACAUGAUUGCCAUAAUAAAUCCAUAUAGGCUGCCUGCUUUAUCUGCUGACGACUGCUGUAAAAUUGUUCUGAAUACCAUAAUAUGUCUUGAUGAUGAUGGACUAUUUAUGGAAAAUCGAGCAGAAUUUAUUGGAUCAGUGCUAAGUACAGGACCAAAGUUUCCUGAAAUCUGGCAGCUUGCUAAAGAUGAAGAGAUAUGGAAGGUUGAGGACGAUUUCUCCAAUGUGCCACCAUUGUUGCAGUCCUAUAGAUUGAUCUAUUAUAAAAUGCCACAAAAUCUAAGGUUGUACUUCCUAGGGCAUUAGGCAUCAAAAGACAAUCUCACUUGACAAUGGUUGGCACUUGAACUGAUUUAGACUGACCAUAACACCUUGCCUUUCGAAGUUACUGUAGACCGAUAUGUUGAGGAGAUGA